AGGUUAUGAAGAGAUGGGCGAAAAUUUAGCACUGAACCGAGGGCUUUAAAGAUGCAGUUAAAGGAACCCCCAUAAUCAAAUUUGCAGUGAUGUUAGUACUGGAAGUGAUUCACCAACAAAUUACAAAACCUUCGAUGAUCCGAAUUAAAUGCACAAGAAGGGAAUAUCAUCAACUUGAAUGACAGACGAACUACACCGUUGAAGUCAAUAACUACUCGUCUACUUUAAGCUUGUUAUACAAAUAAAGCAUAUAUUUGUACAGCAAAGCACUCGUGAAAAAUAAUUAUCUCAACAAAUCUCUCAUCAAACAUGUAAUGUACAUAAUUUAGGAACUUCUUGGUAGAUCUAUGUUUGUGUGUUUUAUUAAAUUAUUUCAUGAAACCCGAAAACACCAAAUACAUAUAUUUGUACAGUAUUUUUGUUUAUUCUAAAAAAAGGAAGGUUUUUAUAAGUGUGUAUAUUUGUAAUUAAAAAAUAUAUAUGCAUGUGCAUGUAAUGAUAUAAUUGUGAAACUUUCAUAAACAUGUUGUCUUGUUUGCGAAAUAAAAACAUUUUGAAAAAUA